GUCACAGGUAUUUGUUGUUUGAUAUGUCUGCAGUGUCACAGGUAUUUGUUGUUUGAUAUGUCUGCAGUGUCACAGGUAUUUGUUGUUUGAUAUGUCUGCAGUGUCACAGGUAUUUGUUGUUUGAUAUGUCUGCAGUGCCACAGGUAUUUGUUGUUUGAUAUGUCUGCAGUGCCACAGGUAUUUGUUGUUUGAUAUGUCUGCAGUGCCACAGGUAUUUGUUGUUUGAUAUGUCUGCAGUGUCACAGGUAUUUGUUGUUUGAUAUGUCUGCAGUGCCACAGGUAUUUGUUGUUUGAUAUGUCUGCAGUGCCACAGGUAUUUGUUGUUUGAUAUGUCUGCAGUGUCACAGGUAUUUGUUGUUUGAUAUGUCUGCAGUGUCACAGGUAUUUGUUGUUUGAUAUGUCUGCAGUGACACAGGUAUUUGUUGUUUGCUAUGUCUGCAGUGUCACAGGUAUUUGUUGUUUUCUAUGUCUGCAGUGUCACAGGUAUUUGUUGUUUUCUAUGUCUGCAGUGUCACAGGUAUUUGUUGUUUUCUAUGUCUGCAGUGUCACAGGUAUUUGUUGUUUUCUAUGUCUGCAGUGUCACAGGUAUUUGUUGUUUUCUAUGUCUGCAGUGUCACAGGUAUUUGUUGUUUGAUAUGUCUGCAGUGUCACAGGUAUUUGUUGUUUUCUAUGUCUGCAGUGUCACAGGUAUUUGUUGUUUUCUAUGUCUGCAGUGC